AACGCGAAGAACCUUACCUGGGCUAGAAUGCGUUUUGACCGAGGGUGAAAGCUCUCUUUGUAGCAAUACACAAUUCGUAAGGUGCUGCAUGGCUGUCGUCAGCUCGUGCCGUGAGGUGUUGGGUUAAGUCCCGCAACGAGCGCAACCCCCAUCAUUAGUUGCCAUCAGGUAAAGCUGGGAACUCUAAUGAAACUGCCGUCGUAAGACGCGAGGAAGGAGGGGAUGAUGUCAAGUCAUCAUGGCCUUUAUGCCCAGGGCUACACACGUGCUACAAUGGGAAGGACAAAGGGCUGCCACUUGGCGACAAGGAGCUAAUCCCAAAAACCUUCUCUCAGUUCAGAUUGCAGUCUGCAACUCGACUGCAUGAAGCUGGAAUCGCUAGUAAUCGUAUAUCAGCAAUGAUACGGUGAAUACGUUCCCGGGCCUUGUACACACCGCGAGC
rnacentral:rRNA from 1 species